rnacentral:rRNA from 1 species
UGGGGAAUUGUUCGCAAUGGGCGACAGCCUGACGCAGCGACGCCGCGUGGGGGAUGAAGGUCUUCGGAUUGUAAACCCCUUUCGGCAGGGAAGAUGGAACGGGUAACCGUUCGGACGGUACCUGCAGAAGCAGCCACGGCUAACUUCGUGCCAGCAGCCGCGGUAAUACGAAGGUGGCAAGCGUUGUUCGGAUUUACUGGGCGUACAGGGAGCGUAGGCGGUUGGGUAAGCCCUCCGUGAAAUCUCCGGGCCUAACCCGGAAAGUGCGGAGGGGACUGCUCGGCUAGAGGAUGGGAGAGGAGCGCGGAAUUCCCGGUGUAGCGGUGAAAUGCGUAGAGAUCGGGAGGAAGGCCGGUGGCGAAGGCGGCGCUCUGGAACAUUUCUGACGCUGAGGCUCGAAAGCGUGGGGAGCAAACAGGAUUAGAUACCCCAGUAGUCCCUGAGCGGGCUGGCAAGGCGCAU